rnacentral:rRNA from 1 species
UACGUAGGGAGCAAGCGUUGUCCGGAAUCAUUGGGCGUAAAGCGCGCGUAGGUGGCUUCGUAAGUCCGUUGUGAAAGUCAAAGGCUCAACCUUUGAAAGCCGAUGGAUACUGCGGAGCUAGAGUACGGAAGAGGCGAGUGGAAUUCCUGGUGUAGCGGUGGAAUGCACAGAUAUCAGGAGGAACACCAAUAGCGAAGGCAGCUCGCUGGGACGUUACUGACACUGAGGCGCGAAAGCGUGGGGAGCGAACAGG